rnacentral:rRNA from 1 species
ACGGAGGAUCCGAGCGUUAUCCGGAUUUAUUGGGUUUAAAGGGAGCGUAGGUGGAAUGUUAAGUCAGUUGUGAAAGUUUGCGGCUCAACCGUAAAAUUGCAGUUGAAACUGUCAUUCUUGAGUACAGUAGAGGUGGGCGGAAUUCGUGGUGUAGCGGUGAAAUGCUUAGAUAUCACGAAGAACUCCAAUUGCGAAGGCAGCUCACUAGACUGUUACUGACACUGAGGCUCGAAAGUGUGGGUAUCAAACAG